UUUUUUUUUUUUUGAGUGCUACGAAAUGAUAGCUCUGCGCUAGCACCGCGCGACUCUGCUCCGUUCGUUGCUCUGGGAGGCCCCGUUUCGGUCUGUUUGGGCCGUGGUUGAAUAAAAGCCCAGGAGAGAUGGGCUAGUGAGCUCAGCAAGCAAAUGUCCUUCGUCCAGACUUUUUUCUUGCAAUUCUCAACAAAUAUAUUUUAUUUUAUUAUUCUAAAAAAGAGAAACGGAAAAAUCUAGACACCCAUACUAUUUAUUUUUGAGAAAUUUCUUUCAGCCGCCACCACUGGCAUCCCUUUACACUAUUUUCUUUUGUUUACAUGCUAAAAUAUGUAGCACCGGUACUACUUCACAGUUAAAACCAGCGACUUUCAAACAAUACGAGGCGAGGAUGCAUACUAGAAUGCUCUAGAUGUUACCAAAUACUUCCUCCGUUCUUAAAUAUUUGUCUUUUUAAACAUUCCAAAUGGACUAUCACAUAUGGAUGUAUGUAGACAUAUAUUAGUGUAGAUUCACUUAUUUCGGUGUUCUCCCUCCUCUAACGUGUCAUUAGCUCACCACAUAAUUUCUACUACUUAUGAAGGAUUGUCAUAUAAGCAAAUGCUUAUGAAGAGUUCACGUGGUUAUGUUCACUAGAAAAUAAUUAGUUGGUGGUAUUAUUAUUGCACAUCAAGAGAUAAUUGCACUUGACAAAGUUGCCUGCCUUGUGGAAAACACAAGACUGCUACAAAUGGUUCGGAGCCAAAACCAUGGUGAAAAGAUGCUCAUGUUCGACGGGAGAAGCUAUGCUCCUGUCAAUUCCGCAACCACGACAAUGGUGACUCUACUGUCUUCAUUUCACUUGACGCUCGAAGCUGACCCCGGAUUUAGGAAAACCUAACAAGUCAGUAGUUAGCCGUCUGCUCCUGCUUCAGUGCCCUCCAGCCGAUAUCUCGCCUGAAGAAUCCUUCCGGCCAGUCGACGACAUCCACCGCAUCGUAUGCUCUCGACCUCGCUUCUUCGAUGUCCUUGCCCUUCGCAGUGACGCCAAGAACUCGGCCUCCGACAGCUACAAGGUUGCCGUCUCCAUCCAAAGCUGUUCCAGCAUGGAAUAUCUUGACAGCCGGAGAAACCUGCUCGGCCUUGUCCAUGUUUUUUAUUACGGUGCCUUUCUUAUAAGAGCCAGGGUAUCCUUCGCUCGCCAUCACAACCACCAUCGCGAUUUCAGGCGACCAGGUUAGUGAAACCUUGCCCAGUUCGCCUCUGCAUGCGGAUAGCAGGACUUGUGCAAGAUCAGACUCCAAUCUCAUCAUCAAAACCUGACACAAAGGAAAGGAAUUAAUAAAUUAUUGCAGUACAGCCAGAAUUUGCUGGAAAAACAAAAUGUAAACAGGUAAACUAGGAGAAUUAAGAAACAUACUAAAAAUGCGGUAAGACAUUAUGUUGUGUACUUCAGAAGCACGAUAGCUCAUGUGAUAAUUUUCAAAAAAUCGCAUCAGCUAUCAAAUAUUUAUAAAUGCCUACCAAACUUAACAACGGCAUAUUGGACUGAACUGUGAGUUUAAAGUUGCAUCAUUAAUUUAAAAAUCAUAUGCCUAAGCAGACAGCUAAAAAUUGAAGAUCCCACAAAUGUCAGCAAAAUUGACUGAACUUCUGGAAUUACAUGAAACAAUAGAACAGCAAGAGGUGGCACAGAUAAUUGAAGAAAUAAAUAGCAAGCAAGUUCCAAAAGAAGAAAGCUUGAGCAGUGAACAAAAGCAGGCUGCACUGCUUCUGUGUCGCAAGUAAAUGAACAUGAGAAUAAGACACAAAGUUCAGAUGGCAUUUCUAAGGCACUCACUCUGUUACAAAUAUACAUUAUUUUGGACAUGAGCACAUUCUACAAGAUGUACCUCUGAAUGCCGAUUUCUCAUGUCAUAGACUAGAAUAUGUUACUAAAAAAUCACUUAACCAACAAGCUCUAAAGCAUGAGAACUUUAUUAAGGCAUCACUAAAGAAAGUAUGAAGAGAACUUCAUUAGGGCAAGUAUGAGGACAAACCCCGUUAGGAAGGAGUUCAACAACAUUGCAUUCUAUUGUGAUAUUGUCCAGCCUCAUCAAGAAUAUUUUGAUCAUACUGUGACUAAAAAAAAUGUAAUGCUUGAAUUGGGAAAUAUAAAUAUCUAAAGAGAAACUGACAGAUAAUCACUAACCUGGCAUUCUGGGUCCCCAAAUCGCACAUUAUAUUCAAUAAGCUUAGGCAGCCCAGAUUUCUUCUCUAUCAUAAGCCCGGCAUAUAACACACCAACAAACUUGCAUCCUUCAGCAGCCAUACCUUUAACAGUUGGAAUAAUUAUAGUUUCCAUGAUCACGCUCUUAAGCUCUUCGGUCACUAUUGGCGCAGGGGAGUAUGCACCCAUGCCACCCGUGUUUGGACCAGUAUCACCAUCUCCAACUCUUUUGUGAUCCUGUGCUGAUUCAAGUGGCAAAGCAUUUUCUCCAUCUACUAAUGCAAAGAAAGAGGCUUCUUCGCCCUCCAGAUACUCCUCAAUGACGACCCGUGAACCAGCAGAACCAAACGACUCGUCAACCAUCAUAGAGUUAAUUGCUUCGAAGGCCUCAUCCAAAGUCAUAGCAACAACGACGCCCUUUCCAGCUGCCAAUCCAUCAGCUUUGACAACAAUAGGGGCCCCUUGAUUCUUGAUGUACUCUUUAGCUUUUGCAGGAUCCGUGAAUGUGCGAUACUACAUCAUAGAGAGAAGAGUACUGGUAUUAGCUUCAAUUGUAUGCCUUAACAUCUGAAUCUACAGUAAGUAUCAACAAAGAGGAGUAUCAAUUUCACUGUUUUCUGCUAAAGUGAUUUCACAGUCCUUUUCUGCAGUAAUAAGAUGACUUCAUUUCAAAAAGCAAUCUGCCUUUAGAGGGAUAUCAAAUUAUCAACAAUGACUUAUGAACUAUGGUUGGAAAUAAUGCAGUCACACAAUGUUUGUCCAGCAGAAAGUAACAGUUCAUUGCAUAGCUUCUGUAUACUUAGUAGCAGCAAAUCGGCACAAAAUAAACACGGUUAACAGCAUUGCCUCAGGACGAACGAAAUAUUAAUGCCUAAAACAAUGUAACAUUUCUCUUAUGCAGGCAUCUCGUGAAAACAAACCCCUGUGGACCCUGGAAAAUGUAGUACUUAACACAAAUGUAAACUGAAUUACCUGAGCAGUCGGGAUAUUACACUUAUCACACAGUCUCUUCAUAAAGUCCUUUGACCCCUCUAAUGCUGCAGCCUCUGAUGAAGGACCAAACGUCGGUAUCCCAGCUUUGACAAGGUCAUUCGCAAGACCCGCAACGAGAGGACCUUCAGGACCCACUACCACCAUUCCCACUCCCCUCUUGCGGCAGAACGAUACAACAGCAUCACUACUGGAAAUGUCUAGGUCCGAUAUACAGAUCGCAUCCCUGGACUGAGCAAUGCCAGCAUUGCCAGGGGCGCAUAAAACUGUCCCGCAAGAAGGCGAACGGGUCAAAGCAUAACAGAGCGCAUGCUCCCUUCCUCCACCACCAAUGACGAGUACAGUUAUCCUCCCUUCUGAAGAACAGAACAAGACAAAAAAUUAGAACACUGGUGCUGCAAUUUACAUCAAACUGGCUGCUGGUGUUAACUAGAAGAAAGGUUUUGGGCAAUGCAUUUCGUCUCACGGCACAUUAGAAAUUGAGGUUUCAUAACAUAGAAAAGCAUCAUUCUUGUAACACCAUGGAGUUGUUGAAGAAAUCACACCUAACUGACCAAAAAUGUAAUUUACCUACCAGCAACAACGGUCCCGUCCUCCGGCGAAGCUUUCGGGAUUGAGCGCCAUCUUUCUGAAUUCCGGACAGACAGAUGAGAAUGGCAGGCGACGUGUUGCACUGCAUUAUUGGAGACAUUGCUACUCCAUGCCCGAGAAACGGGCCAAGACACCGAAGGCUUCCAGCCGCCGCACAGAUGAUUACUAUCCAGGCCAGGCCCCGUGGCAAGCUUGAGAUGCCCCCUGAUGCUGUAAGCCGCACAAGCCAUCGGGGCCGGCCCUGAGAUAGAGCAAAAAGGGCGCCCGCCCAAGGCCUUGUUCUGAGCUUAGGGAGCUAGUUGGCGGCGAGCUGGACAGCGGCGAGGUCGAGCUGGGGGCGGCGAGACGGGAUGGACGGGGGCGGCGGCGUCGAUUAUCUGGCGAAAGAUGGCCGCCGGCGGAGCACGUGGUCGGGGGCGGGGACGGGGGGGAGAAACGGCGGCUGAAAGGAGGAGGCGGCUAGGGUUGUCGUCGCGGGUUUGUUCGGUCAGGCCUGGGAGCCGGAUCCAGUGACUUGCCUCUGCCAAGUCACGCUGCAUCUUACCCAUCUACCAUCCAUUCAACAUCCAACGGACAACGCUAGUCAAGGAAUAUGUCACCUGCCGGACAGCUAACGGGGCAUGAGCACAAAUAGCUUUUUUUUCUUUNNNNNNNNNNNNNNNNNNNNNNNNNNNNNNNNNNNNNNNNNNNNNNNNNNNNNNNNNNNNNNNNNNNNNNNNNNNNNNNNNNNNNNNNNNNNNNNNNNNNNNNNNNNNNNNNNNNNNNNNNNNNNNNNNNNNNNNNNNNNNNNNNNNNNNNNNNNNNNNNNNNNNNNNNNNNNNNNNNNNNNNNNNNNNNNNNNNNNNNNNNNNNNNNNNNNNNNNNNNNNNNNNNNNNNNNNNNNNNNNNNNNNNNNNNNNNNNNNNNNNNNNNNNNNNNNNNNNNNNNNNNNNNNNNNNNNNNNNNNNNNNNNNNNNNNNNNNNNNNNNNNNNNNNNNNNNNNNNNNNNNNNNNNNNNNNNNNNNNNNNNNNNNNNNNNNNNNNNNNNNNNNNNNNNNNNAGUCCACAUGAAGUGGUAUAAAAAAAUAUCAUAGAGAUGGAUGAACCAUAGAUGUCGCCGUGAUCAAGAGCACAAAGUUAGUUGGAUCCGACGAUCAGCUAAUGGGCUGUCCAUGUGUUAGGAAAACUGGGUGUUCUUUUUGCAGGGUAGGAAAACAAGAUGUUGGUAGUAAGGUUUCUGAAUUUUAGGGCGAAGUACCCCGGAUUGUAUUUUGCGUGUUAUUUCGGAUGAAAUUCCUGUUUUAUAUCUUAAUAAAUAAAGAAGUAAGGUUGAUGCCAAAAAACACUUGCCUCAGUUAAAAAACCAGCAAACUUACAUUUUUUCAGGCAUCGAGCGCAGCACCGACCUUCGGUAAAAAAUGGUUCAACCUUGGGAUUGCUAAGGCAUUCGGCAACAGAACAUCAACUGAUAGUUUUCAAUAAAAAAAGAUUCAGACUUGGGAUUGCUCAGGAAUUCGACAACAGACCAAUGUCCUGUACUGAAUCAUCAAUAGUGAAAUUCAGUUUGGAACCACCCAACAAUGCGCAUUCUGCACUUAGCAGUAAUGGAAAACAACAGUCUAUAUGUUAUACGAAAUCAACAACACAUAAAUUCCGACUUACUGUAGUACUCUACAGCUAUGCUUAAUCAGUCUUGAAUUCAGUAGCACUUGUCAUUAGAAGUAAGGACCACUUAAAACUUAAAUUUGAACUCAGCAAAUAAUUUAUUUUUAGCAACAAGUGGUGGCACUGAACAAUCAUUCAAGUAAGAACAGACAAGCCAUUUCACUCGUACACUUAGCCCACAAAAUACUAUGGUUAGGCGCCAAAAUACAAAAGUUGUCCUUGUCCAAAAGACUAGCUACCCCGUCCAAAAUACUAUCUAGAUAUUAGAACAAAACAAUGAUAUUGUACUCUUUGAAAGCCACAUUUCUCCUUCUUUGAUAUCACCCCUGCCCAAAGUACUCUUUGAAUGCAUUCAUGAUAUCAAGCAAGAGAAAGAUCCACAGAGUUUUUGCGCCUAUAAGUUGGAGAUCUCGAAGGCAUAUGAUAGGGUGGAUUGAAACUUCUUGGAACAAGUGGUGCAAAAGUUGGGUUUCCCUCGUCCAUGGGUAGACUGAAUAAUGUCUUAUGUCAAGUUGGUGAGAUAUUCUCUGAAAUCUAAUGGGACCAUCUUGGAUUCAUUUGUAUCGUCCUCUGGUUUACGGCAAGGCGAUCCAUUACCCUCCCUUUUUUAUUCCUAUCUGUCGCUGACGGACUUUCUGCUCUUCUUAAGGCAAACUUGUUUAACUUAUGUUUGUACUCAGAUAUUGUUGAUUCCGCUGACUCGUCUAUGAUCAAGCUCUUGUAUUCGAGCCCUCGAGGCCCCUGGCUUGUAAUAUGAUGCUUGUAUGACUUAUUUUAUUUGUAGAAUUGUGUUGUGAUAUCUUCCCGUGAGUCCCUGAUCUUGAUCGUACACGUUUGCGUGUAUGAUUAGUGUACGAUUGAAUCGAGGGCGUCACAAGUUGGUAUCAGAGCCGACUGCCUGUAGGAAUCCCCCUUUCACACUCCUUGGCCGAAGUUGAGUCUAGUCGUUACAAAACUUUUACUAACAUGGAUGUGCGCCUUACGGGCCCACGUUGCCAUUGGGUGGUAUUAGGAUCUUUUACUCCUCGUCUAUACUCUGGGACUCUGAUCUCUCUCCUAUUCGGGUUAAAUGAUUUUGCUAAAAGGACUAAUUUUAGGUUCUCGAAAAUACUUUUUCCCGGGGAGCCCCUCACUCCAGAUGAUCGCUUGCUUCACCAGAAGAUAUUAAAUAUACUCUUCGAUCAUUCCCGAGACCCUUGUGCCCUCUGAUUUUUCAAUACCCUAAUACCGAUAUAUCCAUAUGGAUAACGGCAUACACUUGCCAUUCAUACAAUCAUUUUCCGUUGCUCUUGUUAUUCCAAGAUGCCCCGAAAUACUCUCCGUUGUCCCGAGAAUCCUUUGAGUUUACUGCCUUGCAGUCCUUUACCGCAUGAAUACCCCCUACGGAUAAUUCCUCGCACUUAUCGAGUAUCUGUUCAUCCCUAGUUGUUCGUAUGCUUCAUAAGAUACUCGAAAAUACUAUCCGAUCUUCCGAGGAUCCUCUCCAAACUAUUGCUCUGCAAAUACUUGUCUGCUUGCAUUAUGGAUGCUUCCCAUAUGUCUAGCGAUAUUCAUUAGUAUCCUUUGACACCGUCAUUUUGAUCCUAUUGAUUCAACAUGUGAGCGAAUGCGCGCAAACGUCAAUUCAUCCUUUUAAAUUAUCUUUCCGGCUCAGUUGUCAUUUUGAACAUGAGCUGGACCUCGACCAAUCAAAUUGCCGACGAUUGUACCUCUAAUACUAUUCAACUUAUCCAUCCCUAUUCAGAGCAUUGCUUCUGAUCCCUUGUCUUGGAAUCAUAAUUCAUGUGAAAUUGAGCUUUGAGUUAGUCAGUUGUUUCUAUCAUCUGAUCCCCUUGCAUUCUUUCUUCUUCUGGUAGAGUACUGAUACUCACAUCAGCUCCGUUGUGGAUCGUCAGAUCCAUUGUUGGAUUUCAUCCGACAUCGUCCUUAAUAUUCAAUAACCUUGUGAGCCUUUCCACAGGUAUAUAAUGCCUUUGGUAAAUUGUAUCCUCUGCCUUGUCAACCAUGCUCUACUUUCGAGCUUGUGUUAUUUACUCUCGAAGUUUGUGAUAUAUGUUCCUAAGAUACCCGAUGGUUUGAACUAAUGCCUCCCCUAAUCUGUGCAAACCCGAAAGAUUUCACAGGUCAUACUUAUCUGGUAUUGCACCAGGUAAAACUUUCAACAACUAAUGUCAUUUUCAAAAUACGAGAGGUAAAUGAAAGGUUAUGCGUUGAACAAGUGGGAGUCGACCUUGAACCCUGUGUUCAUGCCCAUGGAAACGAUGUAUACCUUAUCAUGGAAGCUUCUCUUAAAAUAAUUAUCCACUUGUUAUAAGUUCAUCUUGUAUCUGUGGAUAUGGUUCCGACCAUGUUUCCCCUUGAUUCCAUUUGUCGUGCAAGUUUGAGCACUUGUCUUCUGCAGAGCAUUACCCUAUUCCAACCUCUACUAUGACUUGUCGUCGAGUAUUACACCCUGGUAUCUCGAGAUUAUCAUGGAACUACAUACUUCUUAUGAGUUCUUCAUCAAGUGCUACAUUCUCACUGAUUCCAAUUUUUCACGGGCUCUGAGUUAUUAAACACUCAAAGACACCGAUAACUGACUGAAGUCUGCACCGCGAUUAAACAAAUCAUGGUAACCUUCAUGACUUAUGAGUUUGAACUCGAUCACGUCAUUCCUAGCCUGCUUGGCUAUAUUCUUGUCAUGCUGAUUUUAACUGUGCUACCUGGUCCUUCUUCCUAGAGCAAAAAUUUCGAGGUGAGCUAAUCUUACGUCGAUCUUCCUCGUCAUAACAAUUGUCCUUGAAUGACAAGCUUGAUUUCAAGUUUGUGUCGUACCUAUGGUUUCAAUAACUUCUCGCUUCAUCAUUCCGUUAACUUGAUGUCAUCGCCGAUCGGUUACAUCUUCUUGAAACCUCUCGACAAAAUGUGUCGUGAUCAUCAUCAACAUUUUGACCCCUUCCAAGAUAUCAAUUGAAUUCAUGAUGAGAAGUACCCUCCUUGCCCUCGAUGGUUUGUGUUAUCAUCGACCACUUUAUUGCCUUCUAUUCAACACAAACUUGUUCGUGUUUCUAGCAACCCUAUUGCUUUCAAGUUAAUGGUCGAUAUUUCAUUCUUAGACUAUUGCUUGUUGAAUCACCUUUCUAACAUUGAUCAUGCUACCUAAGACCAUAUUCUGGGUCCACUUUUCAACCAAUGCUUAAUUGUGUAUGUUUUUCUCGAGCAUACAUCCUUAUAUCAUUUGAUCCGACAAAUGUUAUCUCCUUGUUCACAUAAGUGUGGAAAUCCAUCUUUUGAAAUCUCAAUGAAUUGUCGUUGAGUUCAUCAGCCACCUCUUCAUCCUCUCCUUGGUUUUAAUGAUGAACUCUUGUUUCGGAACUCGCUUCCAUAGUACAUUUCCCGAGAAUCUUACAAUGUCAUCUCGUCAAUUGUGUUGUACCUUUUCUUCUCAGGCAUCCCGAGUCUGAGGCAUCCUGGCACCAAUCAGAUCUGAAUCUCGGUCAGAUAUGAUGGUCGGAACAUAUUUCCAAGAAUUAUUACAUUGGUCCUUAUAUAUCGGUAAGGUGAUGUCAUGCCUAUCACACCUGGCCAGAGGACUUGUUGUUAUAGAUUCCUUUUCAGCAAAGUUAUCCCUUCUUCCAUGAGGCAAUUGUAAGACCUAUUCUUCAAGUUAUUCCUGAUGGAUCCUUUGUGUCUCCAGAGUCUGAUCUUCACCUGUUGACCAUGUCAAUGCUAUCUCGAAGCAUGUAUGUGGUACUCCGAUUUUCAACAAGAACAUUUGAAGCCCAGAUGCUAAAUGUUUCCUGCUCAAAUAUCCAAACACCGCUGCAUGGGUAAAGUCAUGAAAUUUCGCUCACCUUACCUAAAGAGUUUUCUACAUUAUAUCCUGACAUGGAUAUCGUGCUCUGCUUGUCCUUGGGAAGGAUAUACCCCUGAAAUAUGUGUUUAAACACAUUUUCCUUUCCAUUCUUCCGUUUAAUAUGAUAAUCAUAUUUUUCCUUUCCAUUGUUUUGUUUAACCUUCUUGUAAUCUGACUUAGCUGAGAAGUAGUAAUUGUCUGCGUAUACAAACACCUCGGUGUACCAUCAUGUCUGGUGUAACCUUGAUACUAUUGUUGAUGACAUUCCGGUAACCACCGAUGGAUGAGAACUUUGCCUAUUGGUCCGCCUAGUUCAACGAGCAGGAAAAUGGUUCUCUUUGUCCCUCGCCCUUGGUACCGAUGUUGUUGCCGACAUAACCGAUAGGCUAUCCUCUGACACGCCUUGCUUACAUGAUCGUGCAAGACGUCACCACCCUUCCUACUUUUAACCCACAUGGUGGGCCCAUAACCCACAGUUCCACAUGAUCGAAACCUGACUCUCUUGUACACCUUGUUGACAAAGUUAUCCCUUGCUCUUGGUUUCGUAGGUAAUUCGCGAGCCACCUUCCUAGGGAUCUAUUCUGGUAUCAGACCCAAUACUUAUUCUCAUUGCUCUAGAUCCCUUUCACACUUGGUUUCAGGCAUAGAACGAUUGCCUACUCGCUCGAAACUUCUCAUGGUACCUACUUACUUUGCUCUCGAUAUUGUCUUAAGUUUCCAUUCGAGAGUUACUUUCCGCCACCUUCAUCGAUGUUAACGACCAGAUAGUCAACCUUGCAGCGAUCCAUUCUCCCAGAAUAACCACCCUUUAUUCUUUUGUAAGUGCGGCGGAGUUCCCGAAGAAAGGAUGAUGACUUCAUCAUGAGGACCUAAAGCAGAAAAAUGAAGAAUUCAAUGUAAUGGAUCGACCUCUUCGAGAAGAGCAACCAAGACCAAGAAGAAUCGUUAGAAUAUCAUAAUCUAUUCUCCCCCUUACUCCCCUCUUAAAUCUCAGGACGAGAUUUCUUGUAGUGGAUGAGAAUUGUGACGCCCGGAUAAUUAGACUACAGUAAUUCCCGGCUAAUGAUGCCACGUCACCUCGGUUACUGUUGCUAAUCUCACGAUAGUUCAAAACAGAUUCAAAUUCAAAAUUUAAUUUAAGUUAAAAAAUUAAAGUUUUCAAAAGUCAAAACUAAAAUGUUCUUACUGUGACAAAUAAUUCAUAAGAUAUAUUGGUGGAGAAACCAAGUCCUUAUAAAAUGCACUAAACAAAUUAAAUCAGUAGUUAAAACCAUUAAUUAAAUGCCUUUUAUAUUUUGUAAAAUGCUAAACUAUAUUAUUUUAGGAUGAAACUUUUUGUGGUUGUGACAUAAUUUGUAACAUCAAUUUAGGAGCCACUUUGGUAUUUUAUUAAAACUAAAAUAAUUAGGAGCAAAAGAAAAGAAACAUAAGAAAAAGUAAAGAAAACAAAACAAACAAAAAAAGGGCCAACCCCUCCCCCAUGGGCCUCGGCCCACCAGGGCACCACCUAGGCCGGCCCAGCCCCCUGGCUAUAACCCCCCAAACCCUAAGCUAUCCCCACACCCCCCUGAUCCGCCGUCACCCACAGGAGCGCUCGCGCGCACACAUCAUUCCUCGAGGGAGAGGAACUCCCUCGUGCUCAACACUGCGCCGGCGAACCCCCUCUGGCCGCCUCGCCGGCCCUCGCCCUCAUCCUCGCACCCCAUCCCCUCUCCCCCGUUGGCACCCCUCGCCGUGCUGACCGCGACCAUGCCAGGACGCCUCCAUGAUGCCACCCCGCUCUCGACUUCCUCCUCGGGCCUCCGCACGCCGCCGCCGACUCCGGCCACCCUGAGCCUCCCCUGAACCUGCUGCCAUGCCCUACGGCUCCACUGUGAGCUCCGCCAUCCGUCCCCUCCCUUUUCCUCUGCUCCCAUCGCCGUGGAACGCUCGAAGACAUCGCCGGACGCCGCCUCUGUCGGUGCGCUCACCGCGCCGAUAGCCGCGCCUGCUCGCGCACGCCCGCUCCUCGACGCAGUCGGGGCGCGCCUCGCAACCACUGCCCGCGCCCCGUGGCCUCACCGCUCCGCACGAGGCCUUGCCCACGUUCCCGCCGCCCCGUCCACUAUCGCUUCCCCGCCCUGCCUCUACUGUGCUGCUGCGUACGACUGCUGCCGCCAACGCCUUUCCUCGCGCGCCCAUCGGAGCUCUAGCUCCUCCAUCGACUGACCCCCCACGCUGCCGCGCCAGCGGUCGGUGUCGCCGGUCCUCACCCGCGGCCCCCCUGCUCGCCGGCCGACACGCGCCCGCCCCUGCAGUGGUUGUUGCCGUGGCCUGGGGCGUGCGCCCGUGCGGUCUGAGCGCUCACAGCGCCCCUGCGCCCGCAACCCGCCUUUCCUCGCGCGCCCGUUAGCCCCUCUAGGCAGCUGACCAGUGGGACCCGCCCCCGAAAAAAAGAGCAAAAAUAAAAAUAAUUAAUUAAUCUAUUAAUUAACCUAAUUAAGCUGCUUAAUUAACUUAACUUUAAUUAACUUGCUAGUUAACUAAUUAAACUAUAAUUAGGUAAAUCAGUGAAUGACAGUGGGCCCCACCUCUGUUGACCAGUUAAACUUUGACCGGUCAACUGGGACCCCCUUGGCCCGCAUGUCAGCCUUUGGUUACACAUCAGUGUACACAGAGCUGGGUACCUGUAGCAUUUCAACUUCUAUUUUCGAAUUAAAAUAAUUUCAGAAAUUCAUUAAAUCUUUUUUAAAUAAAUAUAAAAUAAACCGUGGCUCGGAUGGAAAAACUUUGUACAUGAAAGUUGCUCAGAACGACGAGACGAACCCAGAUACGUAGCCCGUUCGUCUGCCACACACCCCUAGCAUAUCAAACACGCAACUUUCCCCCUCCGGUUCACUGGCCCGAAAACGCGAAACACCGGGGAUACUUUCCCGGAUGUUUUCCCCCUUCGCCGGAAUCACCUAUCCCUGUGUUAGAUCACCUCUAGCAUCGUGUUUGUCAGGUUAUGUUUUGAUUGCUCUGUUAUUUAUUGUGUUCCCCUUCUGUUACUUUUUCCGGUAGACUCCGAGACCGCUGCCGGUACCCCUGUGAUCGACUACGGUGUUGACGACCCCUCUCUCUUGCCAGAGCAACCAGGCAAGCCCCCCAUUUGAUCACCAGAUAUCGCCUACUCUUCUCUAUAAUGCUUGCAUUAGAGUAGUGUAGCAUGUUACUGCUUUCCGUUAAUCCUAUCCUGAUGCAUAGCCUGUCAUUGUUGCUACAACUAUUGAUACCUUACCUGCAAUCCUAAAUGCUUAGUAUAGGAUGCUAGAUUAUCAUCAGUGGCCCUAUACCCUUGUCCGUCUGCCAUGCUAUAUAUACUACUGGGCCGUGAUCACUUCGGGAGGUGAUCAUGGGCAUAUACUAUAUACUUUACACUGUUACAUUACCGAUGAUACUGUUUGAAGAUGGGGGCUGAAGGGGCAGGUGGCUCCAUCCAGGUAGUGGUGGGCCUGAGUUCCCGACGGCCCCCGACUGUUACUUUGAGGCGGAGCGACAAGGCAGGUUGACACCACCUAGGAGAGAGGUGGGCCUGGCCCUGGUCGGCGUUCGCGGACACUUAACACGCUUAACGAGAUCUUGGUAUUUGAUCUGAGUCUGGCUACUGGCCUAUACGCACUAACAAUCUACACGGGGACAGUUAUGGGCACUCGACGUCGUGGUAUCAGCCAAAGCCUUCGUGACGUCAGCGACCGAGCGGCGCGUGCCGGGUUGGACCGCGUAACGCAACUUCCUUUGUAAUGGAGGUUGCUAGGUCUGCUCACCGGCCGCGUACGCAACAUGCAGGUGUGCAAUGGGCGAUGGGCCCAGACCCCUGCGCCAUAGGAUUUAGACCGGCGUGCCGACCUCUCGUUGUGCCUAGGUAGGUUUGCGACGUGUUGAUCUUCCGAGGCCGGGCAUGACCCAGAAAAGUGUGUCCGGCCAAAUGGGAUUGAGCGUGUUGGGUUAUGUGGUGCACCCCAGCAGGGAAGUUAAUCUAUUCGAAUAGCCGUGAUCUUCGAUAACAGGACGACUUGGAGUUGUACGUUGACCUUAUGACAACUAGAACCGGAUACUUAAUAAAACACACCCUUCCAAGUGCCAGAUACAACCGAUGAUCGCUCUCUCACAGGGCGACGAGGGGAGGAUCAUCGGUUAGGAUUAUGCUAUGCGAUGCUACUUGGUGAACUUACCAUCUAUUCUCUUCUCCUGCUGCAAGAUGGAGGUUACCAGAAGCGUAGUCUUCGACAGGACUAGCUAUCCCCCUCUUAUUCCGGCAUUCUGCAGUUCAGUCGACAUAUGAUACCCUUACUCCAUUUGAUACCAAUGCAUACAUAUGUAGUGUAGCUCCUUGCUUGCGAGUACUUUGAAUGAGUACUCACGGUUGCUUUGCUCCCUCUUUCCCCCCUUUCUAUACCCGAUUGCUGCGACCAGACGUUGGAGCCCAGGAGCUAGACGCCACCGUCGACGACUACUACUACUACUCGGGAGGUGCCUUCUACUACGUGCAGCCCGCUGACGACGACCUGGAGUAGUUUAGGAGGAUCCCAGGCAGGAGUCUUGCGCCUCUUUCGAUCUGUAUCCCAGUUUGUGCUAGCCUUCUUAAGGCAAACUUGUUUAACUUAUGUCUGUACUCAGAUAUUGUUGCUUCCGCUGACUCGUCCAUGAUCGAGCUCUUGUAUUAGAGCCCUCGAGGCCCCUGGCAUGUAAUAUGGUGCUUGUAUGACUUAUUUUAUUUGUAGAGUUGUGUUGUGAUAUCUUCUCGUGAGUCCCCGAUAUUGAUCAUACACGUUUGCGUGUAUGAUUAGUGUAUGAUUGAAUCGGGGGCGUCACAAGUUGGUAUCAGAGCCGACUGCCUAUAGGAAUCCCUCUUUCACACUCCUUGGCCGAAGUUGAGUCUAGUCAUUACAAAACUUUUACUAACAUGGUUGUGCGCCUUACAGACCCACGUUGCCAUUGGGUGGUAUUAGGAUCUUUUACUCCUCGUCUAUACUCUGGGACUCUGAUCUCUCUCCUAUUCGGGUUAAAUGAUUUUGCUAAAAGGACUAACUUUAGGUUCUCGAAAAUACUUUUUCCCGGGGAGCCCCUCACUCCAGAUGAUCGCUUGCUUCACCAGAAGAUAUUGAAGAUACUCUUCGAUCAUUCGCGAGACCCUUGUGCCCUCUGAUUUUUCAAUACCCUAAUACCGAUAUAUCCAUAUGGAUAACGGCAUACACUUGCCAUUCAUACAAUCAUUUUCCAUUGUUCUUGUUAUUCCAAGAUGCCCCGAAAUACUCUCAGUUGUCCCGAGAAUCCUUUGAGUUUACUGCCUUGCAGUCCUUUACCACAUGAAUACCCCCUACGGAUAAUUCCUCGCACUUAUCGAGUAUCUGUUCAUCCCUAGUUGUUCAUAUCCUUCAUAAGAUACUCGAAAAUACUAUCCGAUCUUCCGAGGAUCCUCUCCAAACUAAUGCUCUGCAAAUACUUGUCUGCUUGCAUUAUGGAUGCUUCCCAUAAGUCUAGCGAUAUUCAUUAGUAUCCUUUGACACCGUCAUUUUGAUCCUAUUGAUUCAACAUGUGAGCGAAUGCGCGCAAACGUCAAUUCAUCCUUUUAAAUUAUCUUUCCGGCUCAGUUGUCAUUUUGAACAUGAGCUGGACCUCGACCAAUCAAAUUGCCGACGAUUGUACCUCUAAUACUAUUCAACUUAUCCAUCCCUAUUCAGAGCAUUGCUUCUGAUCCCUUGUCUUGGAAUCAUAAUUCAUGUGAAAUUGAGCUUUGAGUUAGUCAGUUGUUUCUAUCAUCUGAUCCCCUUGCAUUCUUUCUUCUAAUGGUAGAGUACUGAUACUCACAUCAGCUCCGUUGUGGAUCGUCAGAUCCAUUGUUGGAUUUCAUCCGACAUCGUCCUUAAUAUUCAAUAACCUUGUGAGCCUUUCCACAGGUAUAUAAUGCCUUUGGUAAAUUGUAUCCUCUGCCUUGUCAACCAUGCUCUACUUUCGAGCUUGUGUUAUUUACUCCCGAAGUUUGUGAUAUAUGUUCCUAAGAUACCCGAUGGUUUGAACUAAUGCCUCCCCUAAUCUGUGCAAACCCGAAAGAUUUCACAGGUCAUACUUAUCUGGUAUUGCACCAGGUAAAACUUUCAAUGACUAAUGUCAUUUUCAAAAUACGAGAGGUAAAUGAAAGGUUAUGCGUUGAACAAGUGGGAGUCGACCUUGAACCCUGUGUUCAUGCCCAUGAAAAUGAUGUAUAACUUAUCAAGGAAGCUUCUCUUAAAAUAAUUAUCCACUUGUUAUAAGUUCAUCUUGUAUCUGUGGAUAUGGUUCCGACCAUGUUUCCCCUUGAUUCCAUUUGUCGUGCAAGUUUGAGCACUUGUCUUCUGCAGAGCAUUACCCUAUUCCAACCUCUACUAUGACUUGUCGUCGAGUAUUACCCCCUGGUAUCUCGAGAUUAUCAUGGAACUACAUACUUCUUAUGAGUUCUUCAUCAAGUGCUAUUUUCUCACUGAUUCCAAUUUUUCACGGGCUCUGAGUUAUUAAACACUCAAAGACACCGAUAACUGACUGAAGUCUGCACCGCGAUUAAACAAAUCAUGGUAACCUUCAUGACUUAUGAGUUUGAACUCGAUCACGUCAUUCCUAGCCUGCUUGGCUAUAUCCUUGUCAUGCCGAUUUUAACUGUGCUACCUGGGCCUUCUUCCUAGAGCAAAAAUUUCGAGGUGAGCUAAUCUUACAUCGAUCUUCCUCGUCAUAACAAUUGUCCUUGAAUGACAAGCUUGAUUUCAAGUUUGUGUGUUACCUAUGGUUUCAAUAACUUCUCGCUUCAUCAUUCCGUUAACUUGAUGUCAUCGCCGAUCGGUUACAUCUUCUUGAAACCUCUCGACAAAAUGUGUCGUGAUCAUCAUCAACAUUUUGACCCCUUCCAAGAUAUCAAUUGAAUUCAUGAUGAGAAGUACCCUCCUUGCCCUUGAUGGUUUGUGUUAUCAUCGACCACUUUAUUGCCUUCUAUUCAACACAAACUUGUUCGUGUUUCUAGCAACCCUAUUGCUUUCAAGUUAAUGGUCGAUAUUUCAUUCUUAGACUAUUGCUUGUUGAAUCACCUUUCUAACAUUGAUCAUGCUACCUAAGACCAUAUUUUGGGUCCACUUUUCAACCAAUGCUUAAUUGUGUAUGUUUUCCUCGAGCAUACAUCCUUAUAUCAUUUGAUCUGACAAAUGUUAUCUCCUUGUUCACAUAAGUGUGGAAAUCCAUCUUUUGGAAAUCUCAAUGAAUUGUCGCUGAGUUCAUCAGCCACCUCUUCAUCCUCUCCUUGGUUUUAAUGAUGAACUCUUGUUUCGGAACUCGCUUCCAUAGUACAUUUCCCGAGAAUCUUACAAUGUCGUCUCGUCAAUUAUGUUGUACCUUUUCUUCUCAGGCAUCCCGAGUCUGAGGCAUCCUGGCACCAAUCUGAUCUAAAUCUCGGUCAGAUAUGAUGGUCGGAACAUAUUUCCAAGAAUUAUUACAUUGGUCCUUAUAUAUCGGUAAGGUGAUGUCAUGCCUAUCACACCUGGCCAGAGGACUUGUUGUUAUAGAUUCCUUUUCAGCAAAGUUAUCCCUUCUUCCAUGAGAGAAUUGUAAGACCUAUUCUUCAAGUUAUUCCUGAUGGAUCCUUUGUGUCUCCAGAGUCUGAUCUUCACCUGUUGACCAUGUCAAUGCUAUCUCGAAGCAUGUAUGUGGUACUCUGAUUUUCAACAAGAACAUUUGAAUCCCAGAUGCUAAAUGUUUCCUGCUCAAAUAUCCAAACACCGUUGUAUGGGUAAAGUCAUGAAAUUUCGCUCACCUUACCUAAAGAGUUUUCUACAUUGUAUCCUGACAUGGAUAUCGUGCUCUACUUGUCCUUGGGAAGGAUAUACCCCUGAAAUAUGUGUUUAAACACAUUUUCCUUUCCAUUCUUCCGUUUAAUAUGAUAAUCAUAUUUUUUCCUUUCCAUUGUUUUGUUUAACCUUCUUGCAAUCUGACUUAGCUGAGAAGUAGUAAUUCUCUGCGUAUGCAAACACCUUGGUGUACCAUCAUGUCUGGUGUAACCUUGAUACUAUUGUUGAUGACAUUCCGGUAACCACCGAUGGAUGAGAACUUUGCGUAUUGGUCCGCCUAGUUCAACGAGCAGGAAAAUGGUUCUCUUCGUCCCUCGCCCUUGGUAGUUGCCGACAUAACCGAUAGGCUAUCCUCUGACACGCCUUGCUUACAUGAUCGUGCAAGACGUCACCGCCCUUCCUACUUUUUACCCACAUGGUGGGCCCAUAACCCACAGUUCCACAGGAUCGAAACCUGACUCUCUUGUACACCUUGUUGACAAAGUUAUCCCUUGCUCUUGGUUUCGUAGGUAAUUCGCGAGCCACCUUCCUAGGGAUCUAUUCUGGUAUCAGACCCAAUACUUAUUCUCGUUGCUCUAGACCCCUUUCACACUUGGUUUCAGGCAUCGAACGAUUGCCUACUCGCUCAAAACUUCUCAUGGUACCUACUUACUUUGCUCUCGAUAUUGUCUUAAGUUUCCAUUCGAGAGUUACUUUCCGCCACCUUCAUCGAUGUUAACGACCAGAUAGUCAACCUUGCAGCGGUCCAUUCUCCCAGAAUAACCACCCUUUAUUCUUUUGUAAGUGCGACGGAGUUCCCGAAGAAAGGAUGAUGACUUCAUCAUGAGGACCUAAAGCAGAAAAAUGAAGAAUUCAAUGUAAUGGAUCGACCUCUUCGAGAAGAGCAACCAAGACCAAGAAGAAUCGUUAGAAUAUCAUAAUCUAUUCUCCCCCUUACUCCCCUCUUAAAUCUCGGGACGAGAUUUCUUGUAGUGGAGGAGAAUUGUGACGCCCGGAUAAUUAGACUACAGUAAUUCCCGGCUAAUGAUGCCAUGUCACCUCGGUUACUAUUGAUAAUCUCACGAUAGUUCAAUACAGAUUCAAAUUCAAAAUUUAAUUUAAGUUAAACAAUUAAAGUUUUCAAAAGUCAAAACUAAAAUGUUCUUACUGUGACAAAUAAUUCAUAAGAUAUAUUGGUGGAGAAACCAAGUCCUUAUAAAAUGCACCAAACAAAAUAAAUCAGUAGUUAAAACCAUUAAUUAAAUGCCUUUUAUAUUUUGUAAAAUGCUAAACUAUAUUAUUUUGGGAUGAAACUUUUUGUGGUUGUGACAUAAUUUGUAACAUCAAUUUAGGAGCCACUUUGGUAUUUUAUUAAAACUAAAAUAAUUAGGAGCAAAAGAAAAGAAACAUAAGAAAAAGUAAAGAAAACAAAACAAACAAAAAAAGGGCCAACCCCUCCCCCAUGGGCCUCGGCCCAUCAGGGCAGCACCUAGGCCGGCCCAGCCCCCUGGCUAUAACCCCCCAGGGGUCCAGCCCCAAACCCUAAGCUGUCCCCACUCUCCCCUGAUCCGCCGUCACCCACAGGAGCGCUCGCGCGCACACAUCAUUCCUCGAGGGAGAGGAACUCCCUCGUGCUCAACACUGCGCCGGCGAACCCCCUCUGGCCGCCUCGCCGGCCCUCGCCCUCAUCCUCGCGCCCCAUCCCCUCUCCCCCUGUUGGCACCCCUCGCCGCGCUGACCGCGACCACGCCAGGACGCCUCCACGAUGCCGCCCCGCUCUCGACUUCCUCCUCGGGACUCCGCACGCCGCCGCCGACUCCGGCCACCCCGAGCCUCCCCCGAACCUGCUGCCAUGCCCUAUGGCUCCACUGUGAGCUCCGCCAUCCGUCCCCUCCCUUCUCCUCUGCUCCCGUCGCCGUGGAACGCUCGAAGACAUCGCUGGCCGCCGCCUCUGUCGGUGCGCUCAGCGCGCCGAUAGCCGCGCCUGCUCGCGCACGCCCGCUCCUCGACGCAGCCGGGGCGCGCCUCGCAACCACUGCCCGCGCCCCGUGGCCUCACCGCUCCGCACGAGGCCUUGCCCGCGUUCCCGCCGCCCCGUCCACUAUCGCUUCCCCACCCUGCCUCUGCUGCGCUGCUGCGUACGACUGCUGCCGCCAACGCCUUUCCUCGCGCGCCCGUCGGAGCUCUGGCUCCUCCAUCGACUGACCCCCCACGCUGCCGCGCCGGCGGUCGGCGUCGCCGGUCCUCACCCGUGGCCCCCCUGCUCGCCAGCCGACACGCGCCCGCCCCUGUAGUGGCUGUUGCCGUGGCCUGGGGCGUGCGCUCGUGCAUCUGGGCGCUCACAGCGCCCCUGCGCCCGCAACCCGCCUUUCCCCGCACGCCCGUUAGCCCCUCUAGGCAGCUGACCAGUGGGACCCGCCCCUGAAAAAAACAAGCAAAAAUAAAAAUAAUUAAUUAAUCUAUUAAUUAACCUAAUUAAGCUUCUUAAUUAACUUAACUUUAAUUAACUUGCUAGUUAACUAAUCAAACUAUAAUUAGGUAAAUCAGUGAAUGACAGUGGGCCCCACCUCUGUUGACAAGUUAAACUUUGACCGGUCAACUGGGACCCCCUUGGCCCGCAUGUCAGCCUCUGGUUACACAUCACUGUACACAGAGCUGGGUACCCGUAGCAUUUCAACUUCUAUUUUCGAAUUAAAAUAAUUUCAGAAAUUCAUUAAAUCCUUUUUAAAUAAAUAUAAAAUAAACCGUAGCUCGUAUGGAAAAACUUUGUACAUGAAAGUUGCUCAGAACGACGAGACGAACCCGGAUACGCAGCCCGUUCGUCCUCCACACACCCCUAGCAUAUCAAACACGCAACUUUCUCCCUCCGGUUCACCGGUCCGAAAACGCGAAACACCGGGGAUACUUUCCCGGAUGUUUUCCCCCUUCACCGGAAUCACCUAUCCCUGCGUUAGAUCACCUCUAGCACCGCGUUUGUCAGGUUAUGUUUUGAUUGCUCUGUUAUUUAUUGUGUUCCCCUUCGGUUACUUUUUCCGGUAGACCCCGAGACCGUUGUCGGUACCCCUGUGAUCGACUACGGUGUUGACGACCCCUCUCUCUUGCCAGAGCAACCAGGCAAGCCCCCCAUUUGAUCACCAAAUAUCGCCUACUCUUCUCUAUACUGCUUGCAUUAGAGUAGUGUAGCAUGUUACUGAUUUCCGUUAAUCCUAUCCUGAUGCAUAGCCUGUCAUUGUUGCUACAACUAUUGAUACCUUACUUGCAAUCCUAAAUGCUUAGUAUAGGAUGCUAGAUUAUCAUCAGUGGCCCUACACCCUUGUCCAUCUUCCAUGCUAUACUACUGGUCCGUGAUCACUUCAGGAGGUGAUCACGGGCAUAUACUAUAUACUUUACACUGUUACAUUACCGGUAAUACUGUUUAGAGAUGGGGCUGAAGGGGCAGGUGGCUCCAUCCAGGUAGUGGUGGGCCUGAGUUCCCGACAGCCCCCGACUAUUACUUUGAGGCGGAGCGACAGGGCAGGUUGAGACCACCUAGGAGAGAGGUGGGCCUGGCCCUGGUCAGCGUUCGCGGAUACUUAACACGCUUAAUGAGAUCUUGGUAUUUGAUCUGAGUCUGGCUACUGGCCUAUACGCACUAACCAUCUACGCGGGGACAGUUAUGGGCACUCGACGUCGUGGUAUCAGCCAAAGCCUUCGUGACGUCAGCGACCGAGCGGCGCGCGCCGGGUUGGACCGCGUAAAGCAACUUCCUUUGCAAUGGAGGUUGCUAGGUCUGCUCACCGGCCGCGUACGCAACAUGCAGGUGUGCAAUGGGCGAUGGGCCCAGACCCCUGCGCCAUAGGAUUUAGACCGGCGUGCCGACCUCUCGUUGUGCCUAGGUAGGUUUGCGACGUGUUGAUCUUCCGAGGCCGGGCAUGACCCAGAAAAGUGUGUCCGGCCAAAUGGGAUUGAGCGUGUUGGGUUAUGUGGUGCACCCCUGCAGGGAAGUUAAUCUAUUCGAAUAGCCGUGAUCUUCGGUAACAGGACGACUUGGAGUUGUACCUUGACCUUAUGACAACUAGAAUCGGAUACUUAAUAAAACACACCCUUCCAAGUGCCAGAUACAACCGGUGAUCGCUCUCUCACAGGGCGACGAGGGGAGGAUCAUCGGUUAGGAUUAUGCUAUGCGAUGCUACUUGGUGAACUUACCAUCUAUUCUCUUCUCCUGCUGCAAGAUGGAGGUUACCAGAAGCGUAGUCUUCGACAGGACUAGCUAUCCCCCUCUUAUUCCGGCAUUCUGCAGUUCAGUCGACAUAUGAUACCCUUACUCCAUUUGAUACCAAUGCAUACAUAUGUAGUGUAGCUCCUUGCUUGCGAGUACUUUGAAUGAGUACUCACGGUUGCUUUGCUCCCUCUUUUCCCCCUUUCUAUACCCGAUUGCUGCGACCAGACGUUGGAGCCCAGGAGCUAGACGCCACCGUCGAUGACUACUACUACUACUCAGGAGGUGCCUUCUACUACGUGCAGCCCGCUGACGACGACCUGGAGUAGUUUAGGAGGAUCCCAGGCAGGAGUCCUGCGCCUCUUUCGAUCUGUAUCCCAGUUUGUGCUAGCCUUCUUAAGGCAAACUUGUUUAACUUAUGUCUGUACUCAGAUAUUGUUGCUUCCGCUGACUCGUCUAUGAUCGAGCUCUUGUAUUCGAGCCCUCGAGGCCCCUGGCUUGUAAUAUGAUGCUUUUAUGACUUAUUUUAUUUGUAGAGUUGUGUUGUGAUAUCUUCCCGUGAGUUCCUGAUCUUGAUCGUACACAUUUGCGUGUAUGAUUAGUGUACGAUUGAAUCGGGGACGUCACAUCCUACUUGGAGGGGGGCUCCUACUCCCCCUCCCUUGGCCAGCGCCCCAAGGGGGCUCUUAAUUCCCCCUUGGUGACAGCCCCCUCUCCCCCACCCCCAAUCAUAUACUCCCUCCGUUCCAAAAUAAGUGACUCAACAUUGUACUAACUUUAGUACAAAGUUGGUACAAAGUCGAGUCACUUAUUUUUGGAUGGAGGGAGUAUAUACUAGAGGAUGUCCACCCUAUGAUUAGAUAAGUUUUGAAUCCUCCUCUAGUUGAUUUAGUGCGCGUUCUAGUUGAUCCUAGUUGACUAAUUAGAGCGAGCCUUGGCCACCUCUAAUCCUCAUAAUUCGAAGUCCCGUGUGGUUCUAAUCUUCUCCUUCUAAUUCUCCGGCGAUGAUUAGCUCUGGACGGCGAAGCACUACUGGAUCGUGAAGACCAUACGCUUGCAACCAAGUAGAGAGGCCGUGCUUUCGGUCUUCCGUUCGAGGGAUCAUUCAUGGGCGGUUUGCAGGAUCACCAUCAACGCUCGAGAGAUUUCAAGUACGAUCUGCACCGACUCGUCUACUUUCACUGCACCUCCAGAGUCGGUAACGAUCAUUGAUCACAACUCGUUUAUGCAUCUUCAUAUUGUUCUUGGGUGUUCAUAGGACAAUUUUUUUUGUUUUCUACUACGUUUCCCAAUAGAGACGUGCCCACGGAAGACCUCGCCGCCGCCGGCACUGCUUGAGCUUUGCCCGACAGAGACCCUCGACAGCGNNNNNNNNNNNNNNNNNNNNNNNNNNNNNNNNNNNNNNNNNNNNNNNNNNNNNNNNNNNNNNNNNNNNNNNNNNNNNNNNNNNNNNNNNNNNNNNNNNNNNNNNNNNNNNNNNNNNNNNNNNNNNNNNNNNNNNNNNNNNNNNNNNNNNNNNNNNNNNNNNNNNNNNNNNNNNNNNNNNNNNNNNNNNNNNNNNNNNNNNNNNNNNNNNNNNNNNNNNNNNNNNNNNNNNNNNNNNNNNNNNNNNNNNNNNNNNNNNNNNNNNNNNNNUACUUCAAAUUCUGCAAUAUGCAGCGUGUAUGUACAACAACCAAACCCAAAAAAAGACCAAUUCAAAUCCCAAUUUUUAUCUCACUUUUUCGGGGUUUUUUUCUUGCUGUUUUAUGAAAAAAGAAUGCUAUUAUGUACAAUCCGAAGUGUGCCCUGCUGAUCAGUGAUCACCGGCUUGCAGCAGUGCUCAUGAACUUGAUGACCAUGCUCCUGGCCUUGUUGAUGGUCAUGAAGCAGAGGAAGAGGUGCUCCUCCAGCUCGUCCAGCUGCUGCCUGAAGCUCUCCUCGUUCUUGCACAGCUGCCUCAGCACCUCCCGCACCAGCCUCCCCUUCCCGGCACCGGCGCCGGCGGCGGCCUCCUCGGCCACGCAGAGCUGCAGCAGCGCGAGCAUGUACUCCCCCUCGUCGCGCACCCGCUCCACCAGCCGGCUGAUGGUGUCCAUGUCCCGGUUGAGGAUGUAGGUGCCCUUGGCCGCGGCCUCCAGCUGCACCAGCGCCCGGCGCGCCGCGCGGCCGCUGAAGAGCCCCAUCCACGCGGGCGACAUCAUCGGGAACGCCGCGAACGCCGCCAGGACGUGCACGCCGACGCACGCGCCGACGACAGCCACGACGGCGACGACCGUGACGAAGGACACCGAGAGCGCCUGCCUGAGCCGGGCGAGCGUCCUGAUCCUGCGGCGCGCGGCCUUCCUGCCGCAGUCGAGGCCCUUGAGGAGUUCCGCGGAGCUGAGCCGCGCGUCCCCGAGCCUGCCCUGCGUGGCCGCCAGCGCGGUGAAUGGCCUCCCGAGCGCGGCGGAGACGUCGGCGAGGCUCCCGCCGGGGCCGAGCCUGCCGCGGAGCGCGGCCUUGAGCGGGCGGUAGCGGAGGCGGAUCUGCUCGAUGUCCUUGAGGAGGUGGCUGCAGAGGAAGGAGGCGCCGGCCGUCUCGUCGUAGUAGGCGGAGAGGAGACCGUGCACGUCCGGGCGGUUGCGCGCGGAGGCGAGCGCGGCGGCGGCGGCGGCCUGGUCGGGGUCGAGCAGGUGCUCGGCGAAGACGCGGUAGGAGGAGAGGCGCUUGGAGGCGGCGCUGGUGGCGGAGGCGGGCCUGGGCACGAGGGCGGCGCCGUGGGCGAGCGUGAUGUCCAGCACCCGCGCCCAGAAGUCGUUGUAGGACUCGGUGCGGAACGCGCUGGUGUACUCCUCCCGGAAGUCCAGCCCCGACGAGGACGACGCCGAGGCCGACGACGCCGCGCUCUGCAGCUGGCCCGUCGGCUUCUUGGGGUCACGGUGGCGAGCUCCUGCGUGCCAUCACCAAAGAAAGAAAGGAUUAGCAGGCGUACGAGAAGCAGCUGAUGGAAAUCAUCAAAGAUGUGCACGGUCGAUGCGUGCAGGACGACGUGGUGAGCGCGCGCGCGAGCUCUGUGGGCGGCUGGGGCUGGCUACCUUGUUGCGGGUGACGCCGCCGCGUGCACGGCCACGGGCCGAAACACUUGAACAUCAUGGUACCGACGGCCAUCUCUGAUCUCUCUGGGUGCCGGCCGGCGAGAUAAUGAACAAGCAAGGUGAAUUCUUUGGUGAAUGGACAUCUCACAUAUGCGAAACGGUCUAGCUAUAUACGUGUGGAUAAACCGGCUAGUUAAGUCGGCAGGCUAAUGAAGGGGGAUAGUGGUGCUAAUGAUGAUUGGGCCUGGGCAUGUACGUAUGUGUCGAAGCGAGGCGACGCCAAAGAAGGUUUGGUUGCUUUGUGGAGAUGUCUGCCGUGCUCCGGCACGCAUGCAUGCACGCGCCGCCGUACGCUACCGCGGCUGGCUUUCGCACCCGGCACAUACCACAGGCCGGCUGGCUCCUCCUCCGGCCCUACCGAGUCCGAUGCAGGAUGGCUAGGACAAUUGGUCCUAGCUAGCUAGCUACUCUUGGAGAAAAAUGAAAUUACUACUAGUUAUUAGUGGCCAACUAUACGUAGCAAGUAUAUAUUCUUGUUCUUCCCAUACUAGUCAAAGCUCAAAAUUCUUUUUGAGGGUGUCAAAGCUCAAAUUUGAGUGGUGAAACCAUAUGAAGAACAGAGAGACAGUACACGUAUAUAUACACCAGCUAACGAGAACAAUUAGCACGGGAUCGAUGCACGUAAGUAUUACAUGUAUUUUUCUUUUUUUUUUGAGAAUCACCGAGGAAGGAGUUCCUCCAUCUGAAUAUAUUACUCAAAGUGGCCAAAAAUGCACGCAAGUAUUACAGGUAUUAAUUGUUUACACAACAUACGUACGUACGUAUGCACGUACCUUGGCGGUCAGCAACCGCAGCGGGGUGAGGGUGCACGCACCCGCCAAACCCAAAGCACCUGAGGUAGUAGGCAGCGCCCAUGGAUGAAAAACCAAUUAGUGCAUGCACUGUUUCGCCGAUGCUAGCCACUCCCGUGUGUGCGCGUACGUAUAUACAACAGGCGGAGGUAUGUCUGCUCCCUUUGACCAGGGUGGCUAAGCUAGGACGUAGUGUCUGUGUACGUGUCUCUUCCCGUCCAAGUGAAACAAUGAGGCUGCCCUGUGAUGGGACAAGCACAGGCUGGCUAGCUUAUAAAGCCUGUCGGCCUCGGCGCUCCGGCCGUUAAGACACCGCCGUGUCUGCGGUGGUGGUGCAGUGGAUCGUAGCUAGCUUGGGCGGAAAGGCAAGCCAUCGACCUUCCUUCCAAAUCCAAUCAUCGGUUGGAGCUAGUUGGAGGACGACGACGAAGCUUGGAAGCAUGCCCAAGACCGGCCGGUCGAGGUUGGCAACCACUCCAAGGCAAACACAAAGCCACCAUCAUCAAAAAGGAAGGAACGCAGCUACGACACAAGGCUAGGCUCGACCAAGCCAUCGUUAUCGUCGUCGUCGUCGGGUUUCCAGGGGCCGCGUGCGGAGGCCCGUCGGACGGACGCGGGCCAGCAUCUAUCUAUCCAUCGCCGGCGCGUUGCCUUCGCGCGUGGCCCGCCGGCUCCACGAUGGGAUCCUCGUCUCAUCCUGCGUGGGUGGCGGCGCGGAACCUGGGGAUGGAUGGAUGGAUGGAUGGAUGGAUGACUGGAUUUGCGUCUGUCCUUGCGAGUUCGAUCGGGAAAGGUGGCGCGGGCACGCCUUCCACCGACCUCGACUCCGGCCGCCGACGCCAUCGUGCGUGCGUGCGUGCGUACCGGCGACCACCACAUCGACCUCAUCGGCGACUGCAGUACGUGAAGAUCGACCGACGUAGUAACAUAUGCAUGAGAAUUGCUGUUGUUUUAGGAAAUUCCGAACCAGCUAAUCAAUGAAGAAAUGACAUACUCAGAGCGCCACGCACACGCGACACCAAUCGAGAUCGAGACGGCUUUUGAUCCUGGAACAUAUAUCCCUGCUGACAGACACGCUAACGUAGCCAGGGAAACAACGUUGGUGAGGCUUCUCCCUCGUCCUGGUUCCGCUAGCGCUAGCUGCCGCUCUCCAUAAAGGUGGCCAGCUUGGGUCGCAUGCGCGCGGCGGCUUGUCGAUAACAGAACCGUGUUGGACGCGGACAGAGACAACAUAUACUCUUAGGCUGGUCAUAGUGGGAGUAACUUAGCUAGUACUUCCUUCGGUCUUUUUCAGUUCGCAUAUAAGAUUUGUUUGAAGUCAAACAUCAUAAACUUUGACUAAGUUUAUAGAAAAAAAUACCAACACUCAGAAUGUGAAAUCAACAACAUUAGAUGCGUCAUGACUUUAGUUUUCAUAAUGUAUAAAUUUAGCAUUGUAGAUGUUAAUAAUUUUUCAUAUAAAUAUAGUUAAACUUUAUGAAGUUUGACUUCAGACAAUUCUUAUAUGCAGAGUAAAAAGGAUCGAAGGGAGUAACAUAACACAUCCCUAAGACAAGUUUGCAUAUGUGGCACCUAGUUGAUGAGGAGAGAGGUGUUUGGAGCAACAUAUUAUGUUACCAUCACAUAGCGCUUCCUAAGAAAUGUUGAAUCUAUAAGCUAAUACUAGCACAAAUGCCCGUGCGUUGCAACGGGAGAGAAUACUGAUGUGUACUCAAAUUCAGUAAGAAAAUUGCUCGUGCGUUGUAACGGGAAUACAUUGUUAAUUUUUUGUCACGGCAGCAAAAUGUGCAAGGAAGAAAACAUGCAAGAUUAUGCUUGUUUUGAUCUCGCCGCGUCCUGGUUGGCACUCUUCUUGCUGUAUAUCACGUACAACAACCUGACAGCACCUGAGAUCCUGAUAAUUUCAAAUAUCGAUAAUGACUUUUCAACCUCGAUGAACAUGUAUAUACCUAAGUUUAGGCGCAACAAAAAUGUACCAAAUUGAACCAUGCAAGUCAUAUGUCAUCUAUAACAAUAAUCAAUUUAAGUGCACCUAUGCAAAUUCCUUUAUCAACCAGAGCAACCAGAUAACGAAACAUAUAAAAAUAGGAAGAUGCACGUUACUAUCUAAUUCAUUGAGAGGAAUUGUACAGCAUGGGACUACAGUAUAGACACAAAAUCAGAAAAAAAAUUAGAAUACAUUAGUGAACUGGCGUUUUGUGGUAGCGUAACUUCGGAUAGCGGAUCUUUGAAGCUCGGCAAGGAUCAACGGCAACGGCAGGGGAUCGAUCACUGGUGACUUAGAAAUAGGCCCUAUACCUUAAAAAAUCAUUUUGAGACCCAUGAGAGAUACUCCUGAACAAAAGAAAAACACUCAUGAACAAAAAAAAAUUCAGGAUAAUAACAUUUUUUUUAUUGUGAAACUACCAGAUGACAUCUUACUAAUGGCCAUGACCACGCAAGAAGUUCAAGUUUUAGGAAUUACCCGAACUCUGGUUUGAGGAUGAGAAAUAACAUGUUGUUUCGCAUACUAAGUACAAUAAUUCUGUUGUGGUGAAAUAAUUCUCAAGUAAAAGAAGAACAAUAAUUCUGUUGUGGUGAAAUUAAUAAUAAAGAUAUAUUGUGCAAUUGGGAGGAGAUGACCAAGAUAACAACACUUUGACAGUGUACAUUUUACAGUUUGACUACGUAGGAAAAUAUCCCUUUGAGCUCUUUGAACUGCCUUCAGAGAAAAAUCAAGCUUAGUUGAUGUGCUUAACUUUCAGGUUAGUGUGGUUAUUAUAAAUAAGGCAACUACUCUCUCUGUAAACUAAUAUAAAAGUGUUUAGAUAACUAAAAUAGUAAUUUGAAUGCUCUUAUAUUAAUUUACGGAGGGGGUACUUAAGUAGGAUACUCUUUGAUUUUUCCACUAUAUAUAGCCAAAUUAAUAAUGGAAAAGGUUUACUUUCAGCCAGAUGAUUUCUUACUACCUUAAAUCGGCUCCUAUGUGCGGCACGUGUCCCAUGAGAAGCCACCCACUGCUCCAAUAGCUUUGUCUCCUCGCCACCCCUCUUCUCCACUCGUUUUCUCUCUUUUUUUCCUUUCUUCCUUGUUCGUAACUGCCACAGGAGAGGUCGUCAAUCCCAUGGCAAGCACCACCAACCACCACAACUGGGAACUGAGAGGCACCGCCACCACCGCCGGAUGGAUGCUACCCUGCCCCAUCAGCCACCCUGCAGCUGCAAAUCCCGCCAUGCUCGUAGCUGCCAUUGAUACAAGCUAGAGAGGAUGACAUCGUCGCGAACCACAACAGGACUGCGUCGCGACAUCCACCGGAGGCCGCGUGCUGUCGAUAGUGGGCUCUGCAUCGAAGCAUCCAUCAGCGUCGCCGUGUGUUGUCGUUGUUGCAUCAGUGCAUCCGUCAUGGCCGUCGCACGCGGCGUCGCAGCAUCCAUCGGAGCCGCCGCAUGCUGUCGAUAGCGGGCACUGCAUCGAAGCAUCUAUUGGCGCCGCCAUGUGUUGUCGUUCUUAAAUCGGUGCAUCCCCCAUUGCCUUCGCACGCGGCGUCACAGCAUCCGCCUGCGCGGAUGCUGCCAUGGAGCUCGCCAUGCACGUUGCUGCAGUGGAGCAUCGAUGGGGCCGCUGGAGCUACAAUGAAGCGCCGCGAUGUCGUUGAACGCUUCGCUGGGUUGCAAUGAAGCGCAGCCAGAGUUGCAUUGAAUCGUCGCCGGAGCUGCAUUGAAGCACCACGGGUGCAUUGAAGCUUCGCCGGGGUUGCAUUGAAUCGUCGCCGGCAUUGUCGGUGCUGGCAUAGGAGCUGGUGUGUGCUGCGAAGCAUCUACGGACGGGGUGGGGGUGGCGCAGCUGCAAAGUCACAUACAUAGAGGCACCAGCGGCGAGGACAUGGCCGGCGUCGCUCAGACUUUUCGUAGCAUGAGUCCCGCUGCGUGGCGAGAGAUGGAACAGAUAGUGUCUAGGUUCGUGUCUCGUCGAAGCUGUGCUCGUCGGGAUUGCAACAUCCACUGUUGUGCGGUUGCCGGCGACGGUGCCGCGGCCGAGGCGUUGCUGCUGCAACCUCAUUUUGUGCAGAAGGUCACAGGUGUCAUUACAGGGCACGUUGUGUGUAGACGCAUGGAAAGGAAAGGAAGACUGGCUGCAUCGCAUGAAUUGGACGACCACCCGCGCUUGAAUCGUACGGCUAGCUAGCCGGAUGAUUUCCUAAUCAUCCGACUGAUCCGUAGCAGCUACCAUUAAUAAUAAAAUAGUCUUUGCAAAAAUGAAAACACAACGGAUAGUGAUUUGUUGGACUGACAUCACAUGCAAAUACAUCUUUAGCUGUCUGUUAUCUGUUGCUUUGUUUUCCAUCUCUACCCGUUGAUUCUCGCAGUCGUGUGUAUAUAAGUUAAUGGAAUUUGGUGUAAAAAUGCGAUGUGGGAUUAUUAGUUAGAUUGUGUAUCCUAUUAUUUUGAAUGAACAUGAGAUAGCUUAGUUGGUAGUUCCUGUGUGGUUGGGACAUGAGGUCGUGAGUUCAAUUCCCGCAUGAAGCAAUUAAUUUUUCUUGCCUUAAUGCCUGCCGGCCCAUGAGUAAUCCUGUGGCCCAAAUGAUGUACGUAAGGUACGUUUUUACCUGGGUUACAGGGGACGGCUCAUGGGCUAUUUCGUUCGCUCGGCCUUUUUUGGAUGGGCUGUUUCGUUCGCUUUCUCGAUGCCAAACGAUUUGAAUGAAAUUGACGCUUUAGUACCACCUCGCGUAUAUGUUUUAAAUUUAAACUAAAAGCAUAAUUUUACGAGAAGAAAGCGUAUUGUGACGGUGAACUCACGGAGUCAAUCCGAUAUACUAGUACAAAAUACCCGUGCGUUGCACCGGGCGGAUAAAUGGGCAUAACCUGCUGCAUGUGUCAUUGUGCAUCAAUUUUUAUAUCCAUUUUUAAUAAAUGUUGAUAAUAUGGUUAAACGUGGGAAUUUCCUUAUUUUUAAUAAAAGUUGACAUUUUAGAAAAAAAAAACAUGUGCGUUGCAACGGGUAUGAAAUAAAUUUUAGGGUUUGCUUGAUAUUUUAGAGUUUAUCUAUCAUGGUGAAAUAUCGAGCUCUAUCUCUUAAUCUGUUAGAUUCUUCCCCGUCUUAUCAUGAAUUCAUAUUUUUAGUUGACCACUUCAAAGAUAAGAUGACCAUUAGAUAGUAAAGAGUUUACAAUGCUUGAUGCCUGAGGUCGUGAGUUCAAUUCCCACGUAAGGUAUGUUUUGAAUGAAAUUGACGCUUUAGUACCACCUCGCGUAUAUGUUUUAAAUUUAAACUAAAAGCAUAAUUUUACGAGAAGAAAGCGUAUUGUGACGGUGAACCCACGGAGUCAAUCCGAUAUACUAGUACAAAAUACCCGUGCGUUGCACCGGGCGGAUAAAUGGGCAUAACCUGCUGCAUGUGUCAUUGUGCAUCAAUUUUUAUAUCCAUUUUUAAUAAAUGUUGAUAAUAUGGUUAAACGUGGGAAUUUCCUUAUUUUUAAUAAAAGUUGACAUUUUAGAAAAAAAAAACAUGUGCGUUGCAACAGGUAUGAAAUAAAUUUUAGGGUUUGCUUGAUAUUUUAGAGUUCAUCUAUCAUGGUGAAAUAUCGAGCUCUAUCUCUUAAUCUGUUAGAUUCUUCCCCGUCUUAUCAUGAAUUCAUAUUUUUAGUUGACCACUUCAAAGAUAAGAUGACCAUUAGAUAGUAAAGAGUUUACAAUGCUUGAUGCUCUUUUGUUGAUACACGACCACCAUUGGCGGAGGUACAUGCAUCCCUGCAGGUGCCGUUGCCCCCAGACUGGGCAAAAAUAGUGAAGAAAUUCUUUAUAGAGAUUUAUGGAUUGGGAAAAAAUAGAGAUUUUGCACCCCCUAGAAAUUGUUUUUUCUUUUUGCCCGCUCCCCCCAGUCUUCCUGGUCUAGCUCCGCCAGUGACGACCACCAACAGUAGGAGCACGCCGACUGCGCCAACACGGUUGCUUCCCUUGACACCAACAUCAGGGCUCGAACAGGAUCAGGAUAUAUGAUAUGACGGAGGGGAGUAGCCACAUGCAUAGAGGUGGUGCACGGAAGGACUAAGGACAUGAUCGGCAUAGCCAUGACCACAUCUCUCUCUCUCUCUCUCGCCGGCGUGAGAGUCGAAAUAGGACACAACCCCUCCUCCAGACCCAGUUCAAGCAGGAUGCACCGUUGCCAUACCCUCUCAACUCUUUGUCCGUCCCUCAUCUCUAUCUCAUCAACGGCAUCAGGAAUAUCAAGACUCGAGGAAUAUAUUGAUGAUCAGGUAGUCCAUAGGUGAGUCCGAAAUAUCUUUUCCCCUAAGAAAUAGUAUUUAUUUUCAAUAUUUUUUUAAACAAAUCUAUCAGGAACAUCAAGACUCGAGGAAUAUAUUGAUGAUCAGGUAGUCCAUAGGUGAGCCCGAAAUAUCUUUUCCCCUAAGAAAUAGUAUUUAUUUUCAAUACUUUUUAAACAAAUCUUUCCAAUAUUUCAGUCACACAUCUUUUAAGUACUGUAACUACUAAUGUAUUCAUAAUUAAUAUUAAGAUAUGGCAGGCUUAAACAGCAGCCAAGUAAAUUGUACUAUGCUAGCAGAGAUCGACACCUAGCAGCUCUACGCAGAAAAAGCAGAGACCGACACCUAGCUCUACGCAGAAAAGCAGAAGAAAAACAUCGCAUCGUUUAAAAAAAGCAGUAGCAACCAACACUCAAUCCCACCGACAAUUCCUUUUCCACCACUCAAUUCUUAUCUUCUCCACAUCCAUCACACCCAGCGCCACUUCUCCAUGCCAGGAGCCCAUACACAGCCCAGCCGCGCUGCAACAACGCCGCCGCCCGUACGCCGCCUCCCGCACCAACCACGCCCGAGCAAGGAACUCCCCUCGACCCCCGGCGCCUGCAGCCCCUCCUCGCCUCCCCCGUCCAGUCCGGUGAUCGGCGCCAUGGCCGGCUACCCCCCUGCAACUCCGGCCCGCUGCUCCGCUAACCUCCCCCCUCUCCAUUCCCUUCCCUAACUCCCUCCCUCUGGAUCUCUCCCUCACCUCUCACCCCCGUAUCUUUUCUGUACAGGGAGAAUCACACCCGCGCCAUGGAUCUCCGACCCCGACGCUCAAGCUCCCGCCGCUGUUCAGCGCCAGAUCCGCGCCGCCCCACCUUCUCCGACCGUGUCGGGAGCCGUCAUCGGCUCGUCGCUGCCUGUUUCGUCUGGGCAUGGAGACGACGAACACGAGGAUCACCCGCGACGUCCAGCGCCAAGUCCAGCUCGAUAGAGACCCUCUCUGCGCCACUGCGCACCGGUCCCGCUGCCCCCCGUCACCCCAGCCAUCUACCGGAGAGAGAGGGGCUCCCCACCACCACCCAGCGCCACUCCUCCAUCUAGCGCCCACGGCUCUGUUCCGCUUCCCUGAGGCAAGUCUGCGGCGGUGAUGCAUUGGCCUUGAGAGAGGCUCGUUUUAUCUGAUCUCUCUCUUAUUCUCUUGAUCAGCCAUCUCUGCUUUGUUAUUCGGCUUGUUAAAUUGUCUACUUUCGAACAUAUAUAAAUUUGUAGGAUUCGAUACAAAGCUACGAGGUGGGACUAAUAGUCAAUUUAAAGACUGCUGAUGUGGGGAAGGACUGAUGCAUCGGCGGGUGGGUGGGUUAUUUCGUUUUUUCUCUCGUCAAUAUCGGUUGGAGUUGACUUAUUAUUGCACUGCGGGUUGAAUACCCAAAAUCGCGGGGGCUUUUAUGCAAAAAUGCCAAUAACGUACGACCAGAAGCAGUAACUGCUUUAUUAGUAGUAACUGCUUUAUUAGUAGGUAAAGAUAUAUACUAGCACAAAUGCCCGUGCGUUGCAACGGGAGAAAAGUUUAUGUGUAUUCAAUUAUGUGCAAAACACAUCUAUUGUUCGUGAAAAUUCUGCAUGCAAAAGAUUCCUUGUGUUGCAAUGGAUAUUACAAAAAGAUUAAGAGUUUCUGUGGUAUUCAGUAGUUUACCUCGUUGUGCACAAUCCGCUUCUGCCUCCCUUAUCUUUCCUUUGGUGUGAAAUUGUUGACAUGCAAUGCUGAUCCUUAAAAAACAUAAAAUGAUAUGAUUUAGAUAUACAUGUGACAUUUGUUCUAUAAAGUUUUCACCAAAUUAUCGAUCAAAUGUAUGCCACUUUUAUAUAUUGCAGAAGCAAUUGAGAAAAUAAAUCACUGGGUUUUGAUCAAAAUCUACUGCCUUUGCUUUCCAAGAAAAGAACUUCCUUUGAAAUGCAUAAUUAGCAUUCACAUGAUGCUCAAUGUGAGCAAAUCAUUGUAUAAAUCUAUGCAAAGCCAAAUCACUAAAGUUACUCAUCAAGAUGCACGAUGCAAUUUCAAAGAAGGAAAUGAAAUAUAAUUUUGUAGCACUUGCUUAACAAAAAAUAAUCGGCCGCCAAAACUGGGUUCCUUCUAUGUCUUGCAUAUUACAUAGUAAACUUGCACGUGUAACACACGUAUUAUUAUGUGUUUUUUAUCAUUUGUCCAAGAAAUAAAAUAUAUAGCAAUAAAAUAAAUAAAAAUAUAAGUUAGACAAUAGAAAAUUAGAGAUGUUUAACAAUUGUGAAAAUAAAUUUUUUUAACGGAGGCAAAAGCUUUGCCUCAUCUCAUUAAUAAAGAAAAGAUUUGCUCGGUUAAUUACUAAAAACCAGGCGAAAACCGAUACAACCCACAAAGGGGCACCACCAGCCAACCUGGCUAUCCACACAAGACACACACACACGCCGUCGAAAGAAGAGCGCCGUCGAGGCAGACUACAAGUGUCAUCGUCAUCACUCCUCCGCAAGCCAGCGACUCUGACUUCACCGCAAACCACCAUCAUCGGUGCCAAACAGGACACCACCCGAACCUCCGCAUCGUAUAUUGACUGCUGCCAACCAAUGCACCCUCUGCCACCCGCAAACCAUGCCGCCGCAACCACAACACCAUCACGCUGUCACGCCCCGGCUUUGGCCUGCGGCAUGCCAGCGCCAUCAUCGGCAUCAACCACACCUCGCUGCAGCCAACUUGUCGCAGCUCACCGCAGCCCACACACAACAGACCGCUUCGACCACCGCAGACAGCAGACACCGCCAACCCACACCACAGCACACAUGAACUCUGAAAUCCCAAACCAUUUUUCAAGUCUCACAUGCUACACCUCUGAGAGUUUUGGGUAAAGUAGAAGUUCAAAUAUUAGUCGCGGUACAAAUAUUAAGAAUCUUGAUGUACUAUCAUCCAUUUGUUUGCAUAGAAACCAAUAAACAAACAUCACUCCAAUUCAGAGUAGCAAGGCAAACAAAAUAAAGACUAUAUGCAGACAAGAACGAAAAUUAUGUUAAUAAGCUACACAAUGCCACUUCAAUGGGAGAAUACAUAUUGCUAGUACACUUUGUCACUCCUCUCAUGGAGAAUGAAUGAAUUGCAAUUACUUAAACUUUCUUCACGUUGAAUGAGUGCAUCGAGGUAAAAUUGCAGAGACAUGAUUACAUCAUUCGUGGAGACAAAAAUACCUUGCAGAAAGCAACAACUCAAAAGGAUAAUUUACGACUUUCAGCUCAAGAGGAUUUGCCUCCAUCACCAGCAUAUAAAAGACCAAUGAACUAAAUAUCAAAGGUGCCACAAGCAUAGAAGUUUCAAGUGAUAUUUCGAUUUCCAAUAAACUGAUGAAAUAUAGUAAUAAAGGAGAAGCUAAUGUCAUGUGUGCACAACCAGCAUAUGAAAGACCAAUGUAUUACAGGAGAGUAUAUUCGGUUCAUAGAUAAUCAGUGAACAAGAGGACAUAAUUUCAGUUCAUAGCCAGCCUGCUAUAUAAUUCAUGCUAAUUAAAAAGACACUACUCUUAACCCGUCUUCAAUAAUUCUACAGCUAGAGCAAAUUAGAACACAACUUCUAAUUAUAAAUUCAUUUUUUAAGAAGACAUUUUCAUCAGCAUGCCAUGUUUUAUAAAGUUCCUCUGGCCAAAGGUUAUAAUCUAAGAAAAAAAUGCAUUUCAACUGUCAGUGGAAACACAAUUUUGUGGUACAGUGUGUAAGGUGGUUCGGUAACCCCCUUUACAGAAGUUUGAUGGCGAAUAAAGCUAAAUGUGAGAGUGGGUCUUACCACAAUUCCAAGAACUUUAAAGCCUCAUUAGAGCAUUUCAAGCCAAAUUCAUGGUCAGGCAAUAUAACAUCUCCAGAAAAUAAUAUAGAUGAGGUUAAUAUUGCAAGGCAGCCUUGUCGACAAACUCUUGUUACAGCUUGAAAAGAUAAAUGCUUCAGCAAUUAUUAGAAUUUUUCUGACCUGAGAGUUUCUCUGGCACCAUGAGGGGGCAUUAGGAGGGAGUGGCUCAUUUUCGGUGAGUUUAUGCUACAUUGUUGUCAUCAGAAAGAAGAGUUAAUACAUACUGAAUGAAUGCGACAAAUAAGCAUUGCAGAUGCCCUUGCAUUUAAUUGGAACCUCGGAUAGCUAGAAACAAGUGGGGCCUGACCAAAAGCUGCAGUUAGAAACACAUGAUGUUAGAUAUGAGAAUUGUUGUACAGAGAUUAACCAUAGCACAGUCUAAUAGAGAAACACAUGUUUGUGAUAAUUGGCCCUGGUUAAGACAGUCGAGAGCUGCAACUCUCUUUUGUGAUCAAGAUAUAUGAUGCUUCACAUUGUAUUCUGCUUUAUUCUAAUCCAACAUUCCUGCAUACCAUGACUGGACACUUUUCCUUUUAGGAUCGUCCGUUGGAUUAUGUGUCAUAUUUGUACUACAAUCCAUAAUUGUGUUUGUUAGGUCCUGAAACAGGGAACGUUCUCUUGAUUCAAACAGAGGCACAUCCAUUUGUUUCUUACUCAUCUGCAGAUAUAAAAGUACAAAUGAUAAACAAUAUAUAGAAGGGCAGACAGGGUGGUGAAGAUCAUUUAGGCACGGAGCAUAGUCAUGUGAACCAGGUCCUGACUAUUAUGUACAAAGCAUCACCAAUUAGUUUCUUAAAAAUAAAAUAAAGAUUUCAGUAUUAACCUAUAUAUGACUUUAAGAGCAAUGUACGUGUAUAGUAUAGUACUCCCUCUGUUCACUUUUAUAAGACCUUGAAGCAUUUCAGACAAUGUGUAAAACAGGCUAUUUGGAGUUGUCUGAAACGACUUACAAAAGUGAACGGAGGGAGUAUUAAAUAUUUUAGGGUGUUUGGCAUCAACAAAUAUUGCAGUGAUGUAAACCAUAGUAUCAUCUAUAAUGUAUGUUUUUGGACUAUUAAAAAACAUGUCAUGACCUCUUUUUUUAAACUGAGAAUGCUUUCUUUUUCCCAUCUCUUUCUCACCCCAUCCACCCUUCACUUCUGCCUUGUAUUUUCUACUUGAGUGCUUCAGUUAAAUCUUGGUUCUCAGCCGUGCGUACAGGUUUUAAAGCGUUGCUAGACAAAGAUACUUGUCCAUUGUUUGUCAGUCAGGAUACUGAUGGGUAAAAGUGGACAGUGGUAGUGGAAGGUCCAGCUCCUUGAACAUGGCGUCAAGCAUGGCCUGAUUGGGAUUUUGACAAUGCCCAUGGCCUCAUCCUAUGAAGAAUGCAUGGUGUCAUUGGGUAAAGGCAAAGGAGGAAAAUAACAACUGGUAGUUGCAUAUAAAAAGCACUCUACAAUUAAUCAGUUUGGAAGAAGGGUGAUUUUAACCUUCAGUAUCUGGUAUGAAAAAUAUCUUAGCUAAAUCAUGUAUAGUCACGUUGUGUAUAUAUAUAAUCCAUGUCAAAUAUAGACAUGCAGAAGUCUGUUAGUACUUACUCCACGCAUCACGACAAUUAUAAAGCAGUAAAAAUAGAUGAGUACAUUUGCUAGUUUGUCCUGGUGAAGAACCCAAACUAAAUGUGAAGACAAAUCUUCUAUUCUUAAGAAGGGAUUCUCUGAAUUUGAUUCUAGUAGAUGUCUGAAAGAUGGACGGGGAUCUCACUUGAAAGUCUCUGAAAAAAUAAAUCAUGCUACACAAAUCAGGUGCUGCAAAUUUCUUCAGUGGUGAGCCAAAGAUGAAUUGCUCUCUGUAAAAUCAAUUGCGAUGGAUUCUGAAGAUACAAAGGAAACGAUAGGGAUGUUUAGAAAGAACUGUUCAUGCCUUUCGGUGGAAGUCUUUUCUUGCCGAGGGUUUGUCGAGGCUCGGCUGCUCUGCAGGAAAAAGAGGACGGAGGAGGGUUAGGAGCGGGAUUAGCGGGAUAGAGUAGAUCAAAGAAAAGAACUGAGCAGAUCCAUGGCGUGGUUGUACCUCGUGCAGGGUGAAUGAAUAGUACCAUGUGCAAUGAGCCAAUGACUGAAACUGUAAACACGUAGUGGCUUCAAAGACCCAAGACCACUUCGCCUCGCCUCCCUCGAGCACGCGAGUCGCGUGGCCUCGCGAGACGGUCGGACGACGGAGAGGCGCGCGUGCCGGGCGCCGCCACAAGGCGAGGAGUUGCGGGCGGGACGACAGCUCCAGUGUGAGGCACGGCAAGGUGUUGCAGGCGGAAUGGCGGCGCCGAUGCACGGCAAGGUGUUGCAGCGGACGAUGUGGGAGCGCGGCUGUGGGGCGGCGUCGAGGCAAGCCUGGGAGGAUGGGAGGAGCGGUUAGCGGACCUGUCGACGGAGGAGGAGAGUGGAGGCGCAAAUGUGAAGGGGAUUGGUUCUGGGCCGAGCGACCAGUGCGGUAGGGCGGGCCGAGCGGCGUGAAGGGGGAGGCGUCGGAGUGGGCAGUCGGGGGCGUGCUGCUGCUGCUGUCGCUCGGCGUGGUGCUGCUGUCGCUCGGCCAUCGGGGGCGUGCUGCUGCUGCUCGGCCGCCAGCGAGAAGGCGCGGCGGCGGGGCGUGAAGGCGAGCGGGGCCGUGAAGGGGCGGCGGCGGCGAGGCGUGAAGGGGCAAGCAGCGGCGGGGCGAGCGGCCGUCGGGAGCGUGGAUAUGAAGGCAAAACGAUCGGGCGGACGGAUCGACGGACGAACAUGCUAUUAGUACCACCUUGUGUUAUAUUAUUAUAUGACUAUAGUACAAAUGCCCGUACGUUGUAGCGGACGAAAAAAUUGAAAAACCCCUACUUCACAUGUCACUACGCUUCACUUAUUUGGACUAUAAAGUGUUCAUGUGAGAAGUCACCCUAACGUCCUUCUUUGACGCAUGCUUACGCUCUGCAUUUCUAACAAAGGAAAGAAUAGUGAUGCAUGGAAUAGUUUUUUUCCGGCAGAAACAUACAAUCUGAGUCUUACAGAAGCAUGGGAUAGUCUUUUAGCGGGAGAAACAUACGUGUGAUUUUUAGGGCAUAUCCAACGUUGACCUGCAAAAGAGACACCNNNNNNNNNNNNNNNNNNNNNNNNNNNNNNNNNNNNNNNNNNNNNNNNNNNNNNNNNNNNNNNNNNNNNNNNNNNNNNNNNNNNNNNNNNNNNNNNNNNNNNNNNNNNNNNNNNNNNNNNNNNNNNNNNNNNNNNNNNNNNNNNNNNNNNNNNNNNNNNNNNNNNNNNNNNNNNNNNNNNNNNNNNNNNNNNNNNNNNNNNNNNNNNNNNNNNNNNNNNNNNNNNNNNNNNNNNNNNNNNNNNNNNNNNNNNNNNNNNNNNNNNNNNNNNNNNNNNNNNNNNNNNNNNNNNNNNNNNNNNNNNNNNNNNNNNNNNNNNNNNNNNNNNNNNNNNNNNNNNNNNNNNNNNNNNNNNNNNNNNNNNNNNNNNNNNNNNNNNNNNNNNNNNNNNNNNNNNNNNNNNNNNNNNNNNNNNNNNNNNNNNNNNNNNNNNNNNNNNNNNNNNNNNNNNNNNNNNNNNNAAAGCUAUCCGCAUAUGUCCGGUUGCAUUUCAGAAGAAAUUUAACAAAAGUCAACAAAUUUGAUGGAUAUUUAAACAAACCGGAUGAUAUUCAUUCGUACUUGAAUAAUUUUUAGACAAAACCAGAUGCUUUUCAUAUAGACCGGAGCAAACUAAUUACAUUUCGACAUAUUUGAACUAAAUCCUACUCUAAACCUAGUCUAAAUGUCCGCCAACACCCGUUCGCCCAUUUUCGGCCGGCCAUGAGCCCUGGGAACUGAAAACUCCAGCUUCGCCUCCACAGCCUACAAGCGGCUAAUUGGCCGACGAUUUUGAGCCCGUCAAUCUUGGCUUAGCGGGAGCUAAAGGGCAGUGACCUUCUUGGUGUCCGAGCACAGGUGAACUCCCAUGAUAUACUUUUCCUCGCUGUCGCUAGCGCCCUUGGACGUGCCGGCUUUGUGGUCGUGGCGGUGAGGCGCGGGCGUGGCGGGGCUAGCAACGUCUUCCUCGUCCUCGCUCUUUCCAUAGACUUUGUCGCCCGCCUCACUGAUCUCCUUGAAGACCACUUCUAUCUCCGACUGACGUUGGCGGUACCGCCAACGGCCGCGACGGAAUUUGUAGGCCGUGCGAUAGGAGUCGACCAGCGCCUUCUCCUCCGCCUGGUCCAUGUCUGGUGCUCCGUGCCGGUGGCAAGUUGCUCCAUCACGCACCAGAGCUCAUUGAGGAGGUGGAGGUUGUACUCCUGGUCGGCUUGAGCCUGUCGGAACAAGGCCUCCUGCACGGGCAUGCCGGCAUGGACUGACGAGGAGGGUGGCGUCGCCCGUCAUUGGUCACAUCUUCCAUUGGGAUGUCCGCAGCGCCGGCCACCGUCUGCCUGGCGGCCUGCAAACCGGCAGCAAUGGCGGCAUCUCAGUCUUUUGGUCGAACGAGAGGUUGUCCCAGAUGGCUUUGGAGCUCAAGGAGGCCAUGACGGUCGUGGUGCGGUGAGGAAGAGGAUGGAUGCGUCUAUGACUGGGGUUGGAGUUUAAAUAGUCGGCGAAUGACAGGGCAAGCGAAGAGGUGGCUAAUGGCGGGCAGUAGACGAACAGACCUGUGGCGCCGGAGUAGGUUCUUCGGCAACCGCGCAUGUUUAAUGUAGGGAGGCGGAAUGAUGAGUUAUCAUUUGAACGUGGAAUUACAGUGUGCACCGGGAAACGGCGUGGGCUGCAUUCUCGUCCGGCGUCGCUUCAAUGCCAAAGGGCCAUUGAGAUGACGCAUCGCUCUAAGCCGGCAUGAAUGCAAGAUCGAUGCUUUGGAGCGGCGCUGGCCACUUCGGAUAGGAGGGACAUGGGCAAAGGAGGGUUUUUUGGGUGGGCCAUGGCAGAUAGAAUCAAGCGUGACAGCGGUUUGGAUGUCCGCAAAGCCUUCAAUUUGUUUUCGUAUUGCGGGAGAAAAUAAGUCUGGGCCGGUCGACAGACCGAUAUAGACCCGCAUUGAAUGGCAAAACACGUCUGGACCAUGAGGUCUGGACGGUUGUGGUCGUUUCGAGGCUCGGUGUUGAAGAUGCCCUUACAUACUCUUCGAGAGUUUAAUAAUUCAUUUAAAAUAUUUUAUCAAAUUAUCAAAAGAUUUGGAUUCUAAUGAUUUUGAUCAUGUAGUUUUUUAAUGGAAGGUUUGUUUGAUUUAGAAGAUUAAAUGUUGGCCCAAGCGCAAGAAAUACUAUAAUCCCCUCGCAAAAAUUAGAAAAAGAAAUACUAUAACCGGGACAAAACAGGGUUGGGGGCUUGGGGCCUACUGACCGGCACGUAACACCCAUCAGGCCAUCAACGUGUGUCCACCGAGAAGCAUCUGCGUCCAUCUCCUUUCUCCCGCUCCAUCUCUCUUUCUCAUUCACGUGCUUCCACCGAUCUUCUUAGACCAAGCAGCUAGCGGGAUUAGCCGCGCUGUGAGCUGGCUGCCCGGCGAGGUUCGUUCCCAGGUUGCCGGCGUGUGUCAAUCGUGUGAGGCGGGCCCAGAUGUGAAGCCUCCACACCCAAAGUUGUUGGCUUCCCCAGUUCCACCGGAGCGAGCGCGAGCGUCGCCGCCGGAUCUGCCAAUAGUGUCACACAGGCGCAGAUGUGAGGCCUCCACCAAAGUUGCUGGCGCCCCACGUUCCACCGGAGCGAGCGCCGCCGCUAGAUCGCUCGUCCCUCUCCCCUCCUCUGUGCGUGUCUUAGACUAGUCAUAGUGCAUAGCACGAUAGAUUAGUCUCAUUUAUUAUCAUGCAUGACACAUAGUAGCAUCAUAUUUAUUAUGUUACGGUAUUUUUCUAUAUUACUAUAAUUAUCUCUCUUCUUUAAUUGCCUGCCACAUAAAUAUUAUUGUGAGUCCGAAAUACAUAAUACUAUUUAUGUUACCCCACUAUGGCCAGCCUUAUCAUCUGCAGACCGCAGCGCGUGCCACUGCUGCUCUCGCGAAAACGACCUCCUCACCUGCCCUGCCCACUUCUUCGUUCACAAGGUGGCAGUUGCUAGAUCUCGAUACGGGGACCUGUCCUUGUAUUAUCGUAUCCACGUAGGAGCAUCUAUAGUUGUGAUGGCCAAAUCUGGCCUCUCAAACAGUCGGGCACGCCUCGUAUUUAGCACUUUGCAUCUGCGUAUCUCAUAUCCGACGCCUUAUAUCUAUACUACACAUGCAAACGUUGAUCUUCCCUACAUGAUCAAACGAUGGACAACAAAAACCAACUACAAAAAAACACAAAAUCGACUGCAAACGGACAUUAACAAACUUCGCCACAUGCAAAAAAUCUUAGUUCAUCGUCGGACAAGUUCUUAAACUUGUACAACUACAAACGAUAUAAACAUUGAGGAGGGGGAUGAAUCACCACUUCCUCGCCGGGCCUUUGCCCUUCCGGUCGCCGCUGCAGUUGUAGGUGUCUGCAGCUGGUGGAGGGUCUUGGUCGUCCAAUGAGGAGGUGCAGCUGUUGCCGUCGUUGGAUUUGGAGUCGGAGAGGACGAUGAGUCCCUUCAUCCGACGAACCAUCCUGUCUCCCCCCCUUCAACCUGGCGACUCGAGCCUUCUUCAUCGUUGCCUCCUUCGCCUCGCGCUCCGAUUGCUCAAUAGCAAGCCGGAGCGCCUUUGCGUUCUUCUGUCGGAGGCGGGGAGUGUCUGUCUCUACCGUCGUGAGGGAGCGGCGGUAGAUUCAUGUGAGAAGACGUGCGUCCUUGUCGGGGGCCGCCUCCGUCCCGCGGCGGUGGCGCACGGACUGCUCCGCCGCGUCCCUCUCCCGUGCAUGCUACCUCUCGCGGCGCGCGAUGCGCGCCUCUGACUUCGGAGACCGGAGUGCACGUGCGUGCCGGCGACGCGGGCACAAGCACCCAACGUUGGCCGUGAGAAGGAGUGGCCGGCGGGGGAAGAAGACGGCGCGGAGCCGAUGCAGACUAUUCUGUCAUUGCAUCGCUGCGCGCGGGCCAGGAGGGUGCAGCUCCGGCGUCCACGACGCUCCUGAUCCGGAGCCGCCGCCGAUCUUCACCUUGGACCGCCCCAGCGCAAUGCGGAGGGCCAUCUCCUCCUCGUAGUCGAGCUCCGAGCCGGAAUCGCUGUCGGAGCUGCUCAUCGUAGUGGAUGGGGGCGGAAUCAGAGAGGGAGAGGAAUGGACGGAGCGAGAGAGAGGGGGAGAGUGAGCUAGGGUUUGAGCUCGUCGGCCGGAUUGGGUUAUUUUAUGGGAUCGAUGGUGGGUCGGGCCUGUCAGGCGGACGUGCCGGGGUCAUCCCAUAUCCGCCCUAUAUUUGGACUGGAUAUGGCGGGUGUCGGUCAGCCCGGACGUUUGUCUGCAGUUUUAAAGGUCUGAUUGGGUUGAUUUUUUUUUGACCGGUCAAUGACCGGACGGAUUGCCCGGACGUUCGAGACGGGUAUGAAAGGCCCGAGUGUAGAUGCUCUAAGGCCUUGUACAAUGAUGGAUGCUUACAUACAGGUGCUUGAGAAAAAAGUGCACCGUUGCACAUCGUCUUGCAAUGCAGAGGUGCUAGGCACAGGUGCUUCGAUUGCUCAGAAAGAGGCAUUUGGCCCCUUUUUCCCCGUCAAUAAGGCUUUAAGGGAGCAUUUAUUUUCUAAGCACUGGCUGGCACAGGAAGUAAACAUUUGCUUCUGCCUCCGUUCCUAAGCGCCGGUGCAAUCCAACAUGAGUAAAAGAAAACAGGUUUAUUUCUACGGCAUCUGGCUAAGCACCCGGCGUUGUGCAUGGGCCUAUUCUACCUCAGUUGUUGACACCGGACACAAAAUAUGUCUUCCGGAGGGUUUCUUCAAAUCCAGCCCAUUUAUCUUUUUGGGUUGAUGCCCCGCCGGAGUUCAUUGUUAAACUAUUAGCGAAUGAUGUAACGGUCAUAUGAUUAAUAAAGUUUGUCUUCCUGUAAAAAAAAGCAUGCAUUAACGCUUGGGUUUGGUCACCAUGUUUGGUUAGACCAGUGCGAGAAAUUUCUUUCUUACCUGUAAACAUUGUGGUGAUAUAAAUAAAGCUUAGCAAGAGUGCCUUGAAAAGAAAGAGAGAGAAAAAACUACUCAUUGUGCACCUUGACGCCACCGCUUGCUUGUCAUUUGGAGCGAUCAAUCAAAGAGCCAUACUUGUAAGUUGAACCAACAUUCCAGCAGCACGAAACAUCCAUAUUGUGCAAGCCAGCGUGUUCGCCGCGUAUACUUGCGCGGCGCAGGCCUGCGUUUAGGGCCUUUUCUCAACCUUUACAAUAUAUAAAUAAAAAUGCCUUCGGGGUUUCUCUCCCCUUGGGUCGAGUUUUUUUUUUAAGCAGCACGAAACAUCCUUGUUCCCUCGUUUGGUUCAAGGACUGAUGAACUGAUUCUCGAUUUGGCGUGUGCAGAAACAAAGCAGCUAUGCUUCGAAAAGAGCCACGCACGUACAUCCAUGGAGAAACGGCGGACCAAGCGCACCCGACGCUCUUGCCGUGCCGUGUCUGCCGAAGCCGACGGGGCCGAUGAACCAACAGACACAGCAGAACCACUCGUGCCCUUCCACAGAGCACAGAGCGGUCGAAACGCUUGCAAUCUUGGAGAGGAGUUUGACCUGUAGCAGCUUCCGGCCCACCGGGCGGCGCUUACUUACUUAUUGACCGCUAGCUAGCUUACUCACUGAAUCUAAGACUGCAAAAGACGACGCAGGAGAAAGAAAGAAAAAUUCAAUCUUCAUUCUUACAAGAACACAUACACACACAU
rnacentral:lncRNA from 1 species